rnacentral:piRNA from 1 species
UACUCAUUCCCAAGUCAAAGCCAAUAGAU